AUUGAACGCUGGCGGCAGGCUUAACACAUGCAAGUCGAACGGUAACAUAAAGGAGCUUGCUUCUUUGAUGACGAGUGGCGGACGGGUGAGUAAUGCUUGGGAAUCUAGCUUAUGGAUGGGGAUAACUACGGGAAACUGUAGCUAAUACCGCGUAGAAUCGGGAGAUGAAAGUGUGGGACCUUCGGGCCACAUGCCAUAGGAUGAGCCCAAGUGGGAUUAGGUAGUUGGUGAGGUAAAGGCUCACCAAGCCGACGAUCUCUAGCUGGUCUGAGAGGAUGACCAGCCACACUGGGACUGAGACACGGCCCAGACUCCUACGGGAGGCAGCAGUGGGGAAUAUUGCGCAAUGGGGGCAACCCUGACGCAGCCAUGCCGCGUGAAUGAAGAAGGCCUUCGGGUUGUAAAGUUCUUUCGGUAGCGAGGAAGGCAUUUAGUUUAAUAGACUAGGUGAUUGACGUUAACUACAGAAGAAGCACCGGCUAACUCCGUG
rnacentral:rRNA from 1 species